CUUGAACGCUGGCGGCAGGCCUAACACAUGCAAGUCGAACGAGUAGCGGACUGGUGAGUAAUGUCUGGGAAACUGCCUGAUGGAGGGGGAUAACUAAUGGAAACGGUGGCUAAUACCGCAUACUAUCAGAUGGUACCCAGUGGGAUUAGCUAGUUGGUGGGGUAAAGGCUCACCAAGGCGACGAUCCCUAGCUGGUCUGAGAGGAUGACCAGCCACACUGGAACUGAGACACGGUCCAGACUCCUACGGGAGGCAGCAGUGGGGAAUAUUGCACAAUGGGCGCAAGCCUGAGGCAGCCAGGCCGCGUGUAUGAAGAAGGCUUUCGGGUUGUAAAGUACUUGCAUCGGGGAGGCGUUACCCGCAGAAGAAGCACCGGCUAACUACGUGCCAGCAGCCGCGGUAAUAC
rnacentral:rRNA from 1 species